rnacentral:misc_RNA from 1 species
AAGAACAGCUUGAGGCGACCAAAUAAACGCUCGAGGAAACUAAGAAUCGGCUUGUGCAAAAUGAGACUAAUCUUCUUAGCCUUUAGUAUAUUUGAAAACAAACUAUAUAGAUAUGGUGUUUCAUUUAACUUUUAGUAUUUUCAUUACUCUAGCAUUUAUAGUAUUUUGUAUGAAUAUUCAAGGUUUGAAGAUCUUAUGUUUUG